rnacentral:rRNA from 1 species
CUACGGGAGGCAGCAGUGGGGAAUAUUGCACAAUGGGCGGAAGCCUGAUGCAGCGACGCCGCGUGAGGGAUGACGGCCUUCGGGUUGUAAACCUCUUUCAGCAGGGACGAAGCGUAAGUGGCGGUACCUGCAGAAGAAGCACCGGCCAACUACGUGCCAGCAGCCGCGGUAAGACGUAGGGUGCGAGCGUUGUCCGGAUUUAUUGGGCGUAAAGAGCUCGUAGGCGGCUUGUCGCGUCGACUGUGAAAACCCGCAGCUCAACUGCGGGCCUGCAGUCGAUACGGGCAGGCUAGAGUUCGGUAGGGGAGACUGGAAUUCCUGGUGUAGCGGUGAAAUGCGCAGAUAUCAGGAGGAACACCGGUGGCGAAGGCGGGUCUCUGGGCCGAUACUGACGCUGAGGAGCGAAAGCGUGGGGAGCGAACAGGAUUAGAUACCCUGGUAGUCCACGCUGUAAACGUUGGGCGCUAGGUGUGGGGGGCCUCUCCGGUUCCCUGUGCCGCAGCUAACGCAUUAAGCGCCCCGCCUGGGGAGUACGGCCGCAAGGCUAAAACUC